AUUGUACUUCAUCAGGUGCUCUGGUGUGGCCCGUAACCCGGCACAUGUUGAAGUACACUCA
rnacentral:pre_miRNA from 1 species